rnacentral:misc_RNA from 1 species
CUUGUAGAAAAUGGUCUAGCUAAAUAUGUUGAAUGGAGUGCAAACAUGAUGGAAGAUGAUGCUAAGCGGCGGCUGAAGAAUGCAGAACUUCAAGCCAAGAAAAGCCGCUUGAGGAUCUGGACAAAUUAUGUGCCCCCUCCCACAAAUUCAAAAGCAAUUCAUGACCAGAACUUCACAGGAAAGGUAGUGGAAGUUGUAAGUGGCGAUUGCAUUAUUGUGGCUGAUGAUUCGGUCCCAUAUGGAAGUCCAUUGGCAGAAAGGCGGGUCAAUCUAUCAAGUAUCAAGUGUCCAAAAAUGGGUAAUCCUCGUAGAGAUGAAAAACCAGAGAACUAUGCUCGGGAAGCAAAGGAUUUCCUGAGACGUCGCCUUAUUGGGCAACAAGUGAAUGUGCAAAUGGAAUACUCUAGGAAGGUUACCAUGGGAGAUGGACCAACAGCUGUUGCUGGGUCUGGGGAUUUGAGAGUGAUGGAUUUUGGAUCAGUUUUUGAGUUGUCUUCUAAUGGGGGUGAUGCGGAUGAAGUGUCACUACCUUCAUCAGCUACUGGAAGUCAGCAAGCUGGGGUUAAUGUUGGUGAGUUGAUGGUUUCCCGUGGCUAUGGCACUGUGAUUCGGCAUAGGGACUUUGAGGAACGAUCAAACUAUUAUGAUGCCCUUCUUGCUGCUGAAUCACGUGCUACUGCUUUGAAGAGAGGAGUGCAGUCUAACAAGGAACCUCCAGUCA